rnacentral:other from 1 species
GAAUAGCUGAUUGACACGACAGGCACGAAAUCUUUUCCCUACAAUUUCUAUCCCGGGAUCUGCCUCUGUCCGAGGCGCGCACGCCCGCACGUCGGGAAGCCCAUAUCGGUUAACGUGGAGCCCACCUGCGCCAUACGCGUAGGGGAUAGAUUCAAGACCAUCGGUCGGAGCGGCUGAACU